CAAAAAUCCUCCCAAAAUUCUGCUUCAUUCUCAUAAAACCCAGCUGAUCUUACAAGAAAAAGCCUCAAAUUAAAGGUACUGAAUAUAGCCCACACAUACUUCUGGACUCACAAGGAACGCUUGGAAUCAAAGCUUGCGCUAGCUGAUUUCGUUGAUUAAACACUCUUUAGCCGACACUGCUAUUUGCGCUGUAAAACAAAACAGGAGUGAACGUGUGCGUAUGGAAGGAUCUAGUAGGCGGACGUAGCAUAAUAAAAGCUAUAAUGGCUUGUAGUACCACUUUUAAUAUAUGGUUUGUAAUGUGAUAGUUCGAAGACGUUGUAACCGAUGCUCCUGUUCUAUGUAAUGUAAUGUUUUUAAAUUAUGAGGAGUGCCAUGUGUCUGCCGCACCCCGAGAUUGUCUUCCGCUGUGAGUCGGGGUGUGACAGAAGAUGGUAUCAGAGCUAUCGGUUAUAGCGAUUUAGGUAUCUUAACUCCUCACCCUGAGAACCUCUAGAAUGUGACAACUCGAAUUUC